rnacentral:rRNA from 1 species
AAGGUCCGGGCGUUAUCCGGACUUAUUGGGUUUAAAGGGAGCGUAGGCCGGAGAUUAAGCGUGUUGUGAAAUGUAGACGCUCAACGUCUGAAUUGCAGCGCGAACUGGUUUCCUUGAGUACGUAGGAAGUUGGCGGAAUUCGUGGUGUAGCGGUGAAAUGCUUAGAUAUCACGAAGAACUCCGAUUGCGAAGGCAGCUGACUGUAUCGUAACUGACGCUGAAGCUCGAAAGUGUGGGGAGCGA